UACGUAGGGACCAAGCGUUGUUCGGAUUUACUGGGCGUAAAGGGCGCGUAGGCGGCGCGGUAAGUCACUUGUGAAAUCUCUGAGCUUAACUCAGAACGGUCAAGUGAUACUGCUGUGCUAGAGUGCGGAAGGGGCAAUCGGAAUUCUCGGUGUAGCGGUGAAAUGCGUAGAUAUCGAGAGGAACACCUGAGGUGAAGACGGGUUGCUGGGCCGACACUGACGCUGAUGCGCGAAAGCCAGGGGAGCAAGCGGG
rnacentral:rRNA from 1 species